UGGAGAUGGAGGGGAAGAACAGGAGAAAAUGCAAGAAAGGUAAAUAAGAAUUGAGGGAGGAGGGAAAUUGGGCUGACAGGCCACAGAAAGCUGGGGAAAAGAAGAAAGAGAAGACAGUGCAAAGGAAAAGGAGGAGGGGAAGAGAAAGGAAAAAGAUUCUCCCAAAGUUACAUGAUUACAAAAGCCCUUGCCCUUUCACCACUGUCACGCUCACUGACAGGGCGCCAUGCACACGGGGGCUGAACAAGGGAGAGCAAGGAAACCCAGAGCAACUCUUACGAUUAAGCCCACCCAUGUGGGGGCACAGCAGCCCUGAAAUGCAGACAACCCAGGGGCUGGAGGGUUCGGUAUCCAUUGUGUUACAGUGUGAGAGACCAAACUGGAGAUGCUCAGAGUGGGGCUGCAGCCCUCUGUUAUCCCCAGGUACACCAGUGGCCCUAAUCUUGACCCUCCCUAAUUCCCAGACUUUGGGGAUUUGUUACAGUUGGGAUUAAUUUUGGUUUUCCUUCAAGCCUCCCAACCUCCAGCAUAACUUCACAUGAUAGUUUUCAGCUUUUGCUUGUACCAACGCAAGGACAAAUCUUGUCACAGUUGCCAGCCCCUCAGAACAGCAAUAUUCCUCGCCACCACUACAGGCAACCGCUGGAGCAUCGCUCCUACUGACAUCUGCAGGAGCAGAGUUCAUUUGCUGUGGUGAUUUAUUGGGAUCCUGUCACAGGCCUAGGGCCUCCUGAUUUGCGAGGGCUCUUACCCGGGCUCAGAUUUACCCAACCACGACAGCGGCGCAUGCAGCAGUGAUGCUCACUGAUACCAUCUUUUAAUUAUGUUUGCAGAAAACCAUUUAAUGAAUAGAGCUUUAGUGUCCUUCAUCUGAAACUUCACACUCAGCAACCUGCCCUAUGCUGACCUCAGUGUGAGCCAACCGCUGUGCCACAGCUUGACUUAUGUUUAGCAGGUCACUGGCUUUUUAAUGCGUUACCUUCAUAGGCUUGUACCAGAUAAAAUCACUCAGGAUCUGAGCCUGCUCCUGCCACGAUCAGUGGCACUGACUUCAGCGGGAGCAGCCCAGAGGAGGGUCUUUGCAGCUUCAACGCUUUGAAUGCUGUCAGGCUUCCAGAGACAACUUGCAACAUGCAGGAGGAGAGCAGAUUAAGGAAUAAGUAUUGUCUUUAUUAUUUGGUGGAUACAUUGCAUGAAAUAUGUACCAUGAUAAGAGAGUAUCAUCUGAUAUGACAGCUUGCAAAAUCAGAGACUGAAAAUAACUAGUGAUCCCCUCUUCCCUUUGUCUCUCAGAGAGUUUUUACCCACCAAUAAAAGCUACUUAUUUAUUUAAUACCAAUAAAUGCUAUUUACUGGUAUUAAACAAAGACAGAUGAUAGCAGGGGAGGCAGAGCAGAGGCUGGACUCCUUCUUACUCACUAUUCCCAUGUUCUCUAGCAACAGCUCCGUUUAAAUAUCUGAUUGACAAAACCCUGCCUCCCGUUAUCAGACGUGCUUUCGGACCAUGCUUAGCAUCAUGACAGUGUUUCACUGCUCUGCUGGGACUUGGGGCUUUCUUACCCCUUGAAACAUGUCAAAACUCCCAGCUCUGCACAUCCAGGGGCUGGGGGAGAAAGGACGAGAGGGCAGGAGAAGCCUUAAAUGAAAGGCCACCACUGCCUCUGCUGCAAUCUGCCCAUGGCUGGGCUGGAGGGCAGGCAGGGGGAAUGCACUCAACAGAUCCUAGCAGAAGAGGAAUGCCAACCCCAGCUGAUUCCGAUCUCAAGAAAGAGUUUGCACUGUGAUUUCCCCCCAUGCUGUUGUAGCUAGGAAUAAAUAAAAGAAGCUGUGUUAUUUGCAUUUUUAAA